rfam:Candidatus Doudnabacteria bacterium RIFCSPHIGHO2_01_FTLL_49_9 rifcsphigho2_01_scaffold_13234, whole genome shotgun sequence.
GCCCUCGUGGUGAAAUGGAUAUCACAACAGGCUUCGAACCUGUAAGUGGGGGUUCGAUUCCCUCCGAGGGCA